AGUGAACGCUGGCGGUAGGCCUAACACAUGCAAGUCGAACGGCAGCACAGUAAGAGCUUGCUCUUACGGGUGGCGAGUGGCGGACGGGUGAGGAAUACAUCGGAAUCUACUUUUUGGUGGGGGAUAACGUAGGGAAACUUACGCUAAUACCGCAUACGACCUACGGGUGAAAGCAGGGGAUCUUCGGACCUUGCGCGAUUGAAUGAGCCGAUGUCGGAUUAGCUAGUUGGCGGGGUAAAGGCCCACCAAGGCGACGAUCCGUAGCUGGUCUGAGAGGAUGAUCCGCCACACUGGAACUGAGACACGGUCCAGACUCCUACGGGAGGCAGCAGUGGGGAAUAUUGGACAAUGGGCGCAAGCCUGAUCCAGCCAUACCGCGUGGGUGAAGAAGGCCUUCGGGUUGUAAAGCCCUUUUGUUGGGAAAGAAAAGCAGCAGGUUAAUACCCCGCUGUUCUGACGGUACCCAAAGAAUAAGCACCGGCUAACUUCGUG
rnacentral:rRNA from 1 species